UACGUAGGUGGCAAGCGUUGUCCGGAAUUAUUGGGCGUAAAGCGCGCGCAGGCGGUCCUUUAAGUCUGAUGUGAAAGCCCACGGCUCAACCGUGGAGGGUCAUUGGAAACUGGAGGACUUGAGUACAGAAGAGGAAAGCGGAAUUCCACGUGUAGCGGUGAAAUGCGUAGAGAUGUGGAGGAACACCAGUGGCGAAGGCGGCUUUCUGGGACGUGACUGACGCUGAGACGCGAAAGCGUGGGGAGCAAACAGG
rnacentral:rRNA from 1 species